AAGCUUAAAGGUCAACUGAAACGAUUUUCAAAGUUCGUUUUUCAAAUAAAUUCCGUAAGAAAAUACCAUUCCUUAAAUGUUUUCACAUAAGAAUAAUUUUUGUUUCGAUCAUCCAGGUAGAUACGACAUCGUUAAUUUCAACCCGGUAAAUUUUAUUGUAUGAGUUAUCUGCCCUUUAGGCGAACCUGAUAUUUCAAUAUGGCGGCACGAUAUGAAAAUCAUUCGGAAGAUUGUAUUCCUGAAAUAGAUAUAUCGCUUAGUGUUAAUGUGCAGCCCUGCCAAUACGAACCAGUUGUACAGCGAGACGCAUCCCCACUAGUGGAAAACGAUAGUUAUUCAGAAAACAGCGAGGAUCAAUCGGACGAAUGCCCUUCACCUGUUCACCAUCUGAUAUGCGAGGUCGAUAUGCAAUGGUGAUCAUAUAGGCUAGUAAUGGCAUCGCAAUGCCCUCAAGAAGGGAGUCCAAAUGUUGCAGUGCAUAGGAUUGAAGAGGUGGGCGUGUCCUGCAUCACAGAUCACGAAGGUUUUGUUGUGGCAAACUGUCUCAACAGAUUGGUUAUAGGAACAGCUUAUUAUGAAUGCAUACAAAAUAUUGGUCCCUUGGAGGAGGGGGAAUUGAUUCACAAAUUUUACAGACAUCAUGCAUAUUGGAGAUCUGGUAGUAGCUUGGGAAAAACAAUUGGAAAGUUCUUCUAUCCUGCGUUGUGACUAUGAUAAGAAAUCAUUCCAUCACAACAGUACUGUGGAUUUAAAUACCCUUUGGUAUUAAUUUAAAUGUGUGAUAAAUUCUUAAUGCAUUUUUCAUAAGUGAUAUAAAUAAAUAUAAACAAGUAAACAUA